UGUGACAUGUGGAUCGAUCCAAAACAUAAGAAACGAUGCGACAUAAACAAGGUCAAUCGAACUAAGCUUAAAAUCUAAUCAUUUCAUGGGAUCAAAAGCAUUUGUAGCAGCUCGUGCUGAACUUGGUGAAAAUGAACCUGAAAAGUAGAGCCUGA